rnacentral:rRNA from 1 species
AUUGAACGCUGGCGGCAUGCUUUACACAUGCGAGUCGGACGGCAGCACAGAGAAGCUUGCUUCUUGGGUGGCGAGUGGCGAACGGGUGAGUAAUAUAUCGGAACGUACCGAGUAAUGGGGGAUAACUAAUCGAAAGAUUAGCUAAUACCGCAUAUUCUCUGAGGAGGAAAGCAGGGGACCUUCGGGCCUUGCGUUAUUCGAGCGGCCGAUAUCUGAUUAGCUAGUUGGUGGGGUAAAGGCCUACCAAGGCGACGAUCAGUAGCGGGUCUGAGAGGAUGAUCCGCCACACUGGGACUGAGACACGGCCCAGACUCCUACGGGAGGCAGCAGUGGGGAAUUUUGGACAAUGGGCGCAAGCCUGAUCCAGCCAUGCCGCGUGUCUGAAGAAGGCCUUCGGGUUGUAAAGGACUUUUGUCAGGGAAGAAAAGGCUGUUGCUAAUAUCGACAGCUGAUGACGGUACCUGAAGAAUAAGCACCGGCUAACUACGUG